UCAUAUAACAUAUAUCUACUUAAUUGUCACACUCAGUCUUGGUAAAACAAAAAAUAAAUGAAAAAGAAAAGAUCAUUUAGAACCAUAAAGACAUUAGUUCUAGAUUAAACCAGUAAAGAAAAAAAAUUCAUGACAGUUUGAAAUGAAAAAGAGGGGACAUGAGUCAUAACCGUUUGACGGAAUUUGAACCUUAGGCUGGCGAAAUCGUAAACAGCUACGAUGGAGGAUGAUUAUGUUGGCCGCAUCCGAGUUUUUUUCGUGAGGUUUAGGAUGCAAAGUGACCGGAUAUCCAAUAGCGGAGGUGACGGUGGACGGAGUUGGUGUGCGGUUGAGGAGGUUGCCGAAUCUUGGACUGUUUUUCGAGAGGGAAAUCGCCGGAAUGAUUCGACCUGUAAAAUAGAAAUAAAUUUGUAACUAAUCAAGUGUUCAAAACAACAGAAUCAUGAUGUUGGAGUAGUUGUUGUUGUCGGGGAUCUCGUCACGGCGGUACUUCGCCGUUGAGUGAAGGGUGUCGCCGGAAUGUCGGUUUGAUGGCGGUUGCCAGAAGAUGAUUUUUGGUGGUGUUUUGUUAUUGAAAGCGGAUCGAGUAUGACGGUUGUGUGAGGAAGAAAGGGAUGUGAGUUACAUUGUUGUAGCUUGCUUUGGAUAGCAUUCACCGGCGAUUUUGUGGUGGCGAUAAUGAAGGUUGGGUGGUGUUUGUACGGCGGUUUGUAGACGGUUGGAGGUGCGGUGGAAGCACGAUGAAGAGAGUGGCGUGUGUGGAAGGCCAAAAGAGACGAUGAAUAGUCCCCAUGGAUCCUCCCUCUCUUUUCGUUUUCUUUUCUUUCUUUUCCUUUUUUCUUUUGUUGGAGAGAGAGAGAGUGGAGAGAAAAGAGAGG
rnacentral:lncRNA from 1 species